CCAAUAGCGUAUAUUAAAGUUGUUGCAGUUAAAAAGCUCGUAGUUGAAUUUCAGGCCUGACUGGACGGUCCGCCCUUCGGGUGAGUACUGUCUGUGGUCGGGUCCUACCUUCUGGCGAAGCGUCAUGGCCUUAACCGGCCGUGGCGGGGAACCAGGACUUUUACUGUGAAAAAAUUAGAGUGUUCAAAGCAGGCAAAUCGCUUGGAUACAUUAGCAUGGAAUAAUGGAAUAGGACAAUGGUUCUAUUUGUUGGUUUCUAGGACCGUUGUAAUGAUUAAUAGGGAUAGUUGGGGGCAUUAGUAUUCAAUUGUCAGAGGUGAAAUUCUUGGAUUUAUUGAAGACUAACUACUGCGAAAGCAUUUGCCAAGGAUGUUUUCAUUAAUCAAGAACGAAAGUUAGGGGAUCGAAGACGAUCAGAUACCGUCGUAGUCUUAACCAUAAACUAUGCCGACUAGGAAUCGGGCGAUGUUGAAAAAAUGACGCGCUCGGCACCUCAUG
rnacentral:misc_RNA from 1 species